AUUGAACGCUGGCGGCAUGCUUUACACAUGCAAGUCGAACGGCAGCGCGGGCUUCGGCCUGGCGGCGAGUGGCGAACGGGUGAGUAAUACAUCGGAACGUGCCCAGUAGUGGGGGAUAGCUCGGCGAAAGCCGGAUUAAUACCGCAUACGACCUGAGGGUGAAAGCGGGGGAUCUUCGGACCUCGCCCUAUUGGAGCGGCCGAUGGCAGAUUAGCUAGUUGGUGGGGUAAAGGCCUACCAAGGCGACGAUCUGUAGCUGGUCUGAGAGGACGACCAGCCACACUGGAACUGAGACACGGCCCAGACUCCUACGGGAGGCAGCAGUGGGGAAUUUUGGACAAUGGGCGAAAGCCUGAUCCAGCAAUGCCGCGUGUGUGAUGAAGGCCUUCGGGUUGUAAAGCACUUUUGGCGGGAACGAAAAGGACUGUGCCAAUACCACGGUUCGAUGACGGUACCCGCAGAAUAAGCACCGGCUAACUACGUG
rnacentral:rRNA from 1 species